AUUGAACGCUGGCGGCAUGCUUUACACAUGCAAGUCGAACGGUAACAGGCCGCAAGGUGCUGACGAGUGGCGAACGGGUGAGUAAUGCAUCGGAACGUGCCCAGUCGUGGGGGAUAACGCAGCGAAAGCUGCGCUAAUACCGCAUACGAUCUAUGGAUGAAAGCGGGGGACCGUAAGGGCUCGCGCGAUUGGAGCGGCCGAUGUCAGAUUAGGUAGUUGGUGGGGUAAAGGCUCACCAAGCCAACGAUCUGUAGCUGGUCUGAGAGGACGACCAGCCACGCUGGGACUGAGACACGGCUCAGACUCCUACGGGAGGCAGCAGUGGGGAAUUUUGGACAAUGGGCGCAAGCCUGAUCCAGCAAUGCCGCGUGCAGGAAGAAGGCAUUCGGGUUGUAAACUGCUUUUGUACGGAACGAAACGGUCCUGGUUAAUACCUGGGGCUAAUGACGGUACCGUAAGGAUAAGCACCGGCUAACUACGUGCCAGCAGCCGCCGUAA
rnacentral:rRNA from 1 species